rnacentral:rRNA from 1 species
UACGGAGGGGGCUAGCGUUGUUCGGAAUUACUGGGCGUAAAGCGCACGUAGGCGGCUUUGUAAGUUAGAGGUGAAAGCCCGGGGCUCAACUCCGGAAUCGCCUUUAAGACUGCAUCGCUAGAAUUGUGGAGAGGUAAGUGGAAUUCCGAGUGUAGAGGUGAAAUUCGUAGAUAUUCGGAAGAACACCAGUGGCGAAGGCGGCUACCUGGACAAUUGCUGACGCUCAGGCACGAAAGCGUGGGGAGCAAAAGGG